rnacentral:rRNA from 1 species
GGUCACUGCUAUUGGGAUCCGACUAAGCCAUGCGAGUCGAGAGGGUUCGGCCCUCGGCAUACCGCUCAGUAACACGUGGAUAAUCUACCCUUAGGUGGAGGAUAACCUCGGGAAACUGAGAAUAAUACUCCAUAGAUCUAGGAUGCUGGAAUGUACUUAGGUUGAAAGUUCCGGCGCCUAAGGAUGAGUCUGCGGACUAUCAGGUAGUAGUCAGGGUAAAGACCUGACUAGCCUACGACGGAUACGGGUUGUGAGAGCAAUAGCCCGGAGAUGAUAUCUGAGACACGAUAUCAGGUCCUACGGGAUGCAGCAGGCGCGAAACCUUCACAAUGUGCGAAAGCACGAUGAGGGGAUCCCAAGUGCUGGCUCGUAAGAGCCAGCUGUUUCUCUGUCUAAAAAAUAGAGAGAGUAAGAGCUGGGUAAGACGGGUGCCAGCCGCCGCGGUAAUACCUGCAGCUCAAGUGGUGGCCGCUAUUAUUGGGCCUAAAACGUCCGUAGCCGGUUUAGUAAAUGCCUGGGUAAAUUGUGUAGCUUAACUAUACGAAUACCGGGUAGACUGCUAAACUUGGGACCGGGAGAGGCUAGAGGUACUCCUGGGGUAGAGGUGAAAUUCUGUAAUCCUAGGGGGACCACCAGUGGCGAAGGCGUCUAGCUAGAACGGGUCUGACGGUGAGGGACGAAGCCCUGGGGCGCAAACCGGAUUAGAUACCCGGGUAGUCCAGGGUGUAAACGCUGCUCGCUUGAUGUUAGUCGAGCUCCGAGCUCAACUAGUGUCGGAGAGAAGUUGUUAAGCGAGCUGCCUGGGAAGUACGGUCGCAAGGCUGAAACUUAAAGGAAUUGGCGGGGGAGCACAGCAACGGGUGGAGCGUGCGGUUU